CAGUUUAGCAGGGCAAUGCUCAAACCACUGAGCUAUCCCUCCCCCAUAUAACUAUCUAAUCCUGCUCCACUUGUUUUGUAGAUUCAGAAGCUUGGACAAGUACUGGCCUGCAUCACCCCAUUUUCUUGGUCCAGCAACUGUGUGAGAGAAAGAGGGAUGAUGCUGUUGAGGCAGUUGACCAGCCUUCCAUAUGGAAAAGAGCCGGAUCCCGCAAUGUGUACUCAAGCAAGACUCUUAGAUCACAAGAUUUGGCCCUUAGAGAUGACUGGCUCUACAUGCUAUGAUGGCAUUGAUUUUUAUGCAUAUUAAAACAAUUGAUGGCAUUAUAUGGCUCUGUAUACCCAGGACUCUAAACAAUUACCUACAAUGAGGAGGUACUACCUAUGUAUGAUGACUUAAAUUUGAUAUAGGUAAACUCAACAUUAUUUUGCCACACAAACAGAAUGUACCAAACAAAGAUGAUUUACUACUUUAAGCACCAAUUAUCACAUGCCAAAAUUCCCUGAAGCCACAGGUUACCAACAGGAUGACUCAGCCCUUCAUAUGUCUGAGGAAUAUGCAAAAACAAAUGAUCACAAUCUGAGGAGAAAGACAUUUGAAUACAUGCUACCGUUGUUACUACUGACAUCAGGAGGGCAGCAAAUGCAAACAUACAAGUCCAUUUCAUACUAAAAGUCAGAGCCCAGCUAAGGGAAAGCAAGAUUCAGCAUCAAAGUAAGGAUGAGCUCUCACCACAACGCAUUGCAUAACUGUGACGCUGUAGCAGCUUUUGAGCUCCACAAGAUAGGAAAACAGUAACUAGCUAAGCAGAGUUCACCAGACCUAAGGAAAUCUUUGGUUAGGGUAUGUCUACACAUGGAAUUAUUCCAGACCAGAUUAGCUGUUCCCAUCCACGUUUGAAUUCUUGUUCUGAAAUAAAAAUUAAUCCAGAAGAGUUCAUCUGGAAUAAUUAAUAUCAUGCUUUAUUUUAUUCCAGAAUAGCUCUCCCGUGUAGACAAGCCCAUAUAAAAUAUAUUAGGUAAAUAAUGGACCAUAUAUAUCCUAAAUGGCUUAAAGCUUCAUGUGAAGCCACCAGUUUCAAACAGGCCUUACUCAACCUAUAGCAAUAUAAAUAAGUAAGGCCUGGCACUAAAAGGGUUAACUUGAGAUGGAGAACUCAGUCAAGGCAUCUGGGGGGUGGCCCAGGCACCAACCCAGCUGGAGAAGGAGCUGGAUGGUGAGGAAGCCCACUGAGAAGGGAGUACUAUGAGAAAGAACUCUGUAGCCUGGCUGCUAGAGAAUGGUGGAAAGGCCUCUAGAGAGUGAGGUAGAUAUACAGUAAGCCCAGAGAGAGGCUGUGGAAAAGGACCUGAAGAAAGGCCAAGGUAAGAAGACAUCCAGAGAGGCAGUGAGCAGUCUGAGGUAGCAGACAUUAGUGCUUAUCACAGGGUCCUUGUUCUGGAACCCAGAAGAGAAAGAGGGACUGAGCUCCCCUACUAGCUGCUGGGAAACACUCUAACAUGAUGGGGAGAAGGGCUACUGAGUCUGGAACUGGGCAUCCAGGGAGAAAGACCAGGGAAGUCUUGUUCUGCACAAGAGUGGGAGGACAACCCUGCAGAGCCUCAGAAGAGGUGAAGAGUCUGCAGAGGAUCCAGCCUAGGAAUGAGUGAAGAGGAGGUGUUGGUGCAGAUAUACAUUCAAGGAAAAUGAAAUUCAUGGUGCCAGAGCCUAACAUCUAGUGAAUCAGAGAAAGAUCCUUGAAGAUCAAAAGCAGAACCAUUUAGAGGAGCUGAUAGUGCCCCAUCAAACAGCAUGCACCUGUUUGGGUAUCUUUGCAUUUACUAGAAUUGGACAACAGCAAUAGAUGGGCAAAAAGAAGGCUCCAGAGAAAGAUAUUCAAAGAGAAGGAGACAGCUGGGAAGCAGUAAUAUUGAGAUGUUUGGAGUGAUGGUACACAGG